AUACGUAGGGUGCGAGCGUUGUCCGGAAUUACUGGGCGUAAAGAGCUCGUAGGUGGUUUGUCGCGUCGUCUGUGAAAUUCCGGGGCUUAACUCCGGGAGUGCAGGCGAUACGGGCAUAACUUGAGUACUGUAGGGGAGACUGGAAUUCCUGGUGUAGCGGUGAAAUGCGCAGAUAUCAGGAGGAACACCGGUGGCGAAGGCGGUUCUCUGGGCGGUAACUGACGCUGAGGAGCGAAAGCAUGGGUAGCGAACAGGAUUAGAUACCCUGGUAGUCCAUGCCGUAAACGGUGGGCGCUAGGUGUAGGGGUCUUCCACGACUUCUGUGCCGUAGCUAACGCAUUAAGCGCCCCGCCUGGGGAGUACGGCCGCAAGGCUAAAACUCAAAGGAAUUGACGGGG
rnacentral:rRNA from 1 species